rnacentral:tRNA from 1 species
GUGCUCGUGGACCAACUGGAUGGUCAGCCGUCUUCUAAACGGCCCUAUGCUGGUUCGAGUCCAGCCGAGCGCGCCA